rnacentral:rRNA from 1 species
AACGAACGCUGGCGGCAGGCCUAACACAUGCAAGUCGAACGGGAAGCCACCUUCGGGUGGUGGACAGUGGCAGACGGGUGAGUAACGCGUGGGAACGUGCCUUUCGGUUCGGAAUAACCCAGGGAAACUUGGGCUAAUACCGGAUACGCCCUUCGGGGGAAAGAUUCAUUGCCGAAAGAUCGGCCCGCGUCGGAUUAGCUAGUUGGUGGGGUAAUGGCUCACCAAGGCGACGAUCCGUAGCUGGUCUGAGAGGAUGACCAGCCACACUGGGACUGAGACACGGCCCAGACUCCUACGGGAGGCAGCAGUGGGGAAUAUUGGACAAUGGGCGAAAGCCUGAUCCAGCCAUGCCGCGUGGGUGAAGAAGGCCUUAGGGUUGUAAACCCCUUUCAGCGGGGAAGAUAAUGACGGUACCCGCAGAAGAAGUCCCGGCUAACUCCGUGCCAGCCGCCGCCGUAAAAC